UACAGAGGGUGCGAGCGUUAAUCGGAAUUACUGGGCGUAAAGGGCGCGUAGGCGGCCUGCUAAGUCGAACGUGAAAUCCCCGGGCUCAACCCGGGAACUGCGUCCGAUACUGGUUGGCUUGAAUCCGGGAGAGGGAUGCGGAAUUCCAGGUGUAGCGGUGAAAUGCGUAGAUAUCUGGAGGAACACCGGUGGCGAAGGCGGCAUCCUGGACCGGUAUUGACGCUGAGGAGCGAAAGCCAGGGGAGCAAACGGG
rnacentral:rRNA from 1 species